rnacentral:misc_RNA from 2 species
UGACCACUCAAGCCUAGCUUGGUAUUGGGGUUCGCGGUCCCGCGGCUCUUAAAAUCAGUGGCGGUGCCGUCUGGCUCUAAGCGUAGUAAUUUUCUCGCUAUGGAGUCCGGGUGGUUACUUGCCAAAACCCCAACUUCUCAC